GAUGAACGCUGGCGGCGUGCCUAACACAUGCAAGUCGAACGGAGAUUACGGACGGAAGUUUUCGGAUGGAAGCCUGUAAUUCUUAGUGGCGGACGGGUGAGUAACGCGUGGGCAACCUGCCCUAUACAGGGGGAUAGCAGCUGGAAACGGCUGGUAAGACCGCAUAAGUCGGUUAAAUCGCAUGAUUUGAUCGGGAAAUGAGCAAUCAGGUAUAGGAUGGGCCCGCGUCCGAUUAGCCAGUUGGCAGGGUAAAAGCCUACCAAAGCGACGAUCGGUAGCCGGACUGAGAGGUCGGACGGCCACAUUGGGACUGAGACACGGUCCAAACUCCUACGGGAGGCAGCAGUGGGGGAUAUUGCACAAUGGAGGAAACUCUGAUGCAGCGACGCCGCGUGAGUGAAGAAGUAUUUCGGUAUGUAAAGCUCUAUCAGCAGGGAAGAUGAUGACGGUACCUGACUAAGAAGCCCCGGCUAACUACGUGCCAGCAGCCGCGGUAAUACGUAGGGGGCAAGCGUUAUCCGGAUUUACUGGGUGUAAAGGGAGCGCAGGCGGUUUUGCAAGUUGAGAGUGGAAGCAGGGGGCUCAACCCCCUGACUGCUCCCAAAACUGUAAAACUUGAGUAUGGGAGAGGCAGGCGGAAUUCCUAGUGUAGCGGUGAAAUGCUUAGAUAUUAGGAAGAACACCGGUGGCGAAGGCGGCCUGCUGGACCAAAACUGACGCUGAGGCUCGAAAGCGUGGGUAGCAACAGG
rnacentral:rRNA from 1 species